rnacentral:rRNA from 1 species
UACGUAGGGGGCUAGCGUUGUCCGGAAUUAUUGGGCGUAAAGAGCGUGUAGGCGGUUCGAUAAGUCUGCUGUAAAAGUCGGGGGCUCAACCCUCGAAGGCCGGUGGAUACUGUCGAGCUAGAGUACGGAAGAGGCGAGUGGAAUUCCUGGUGUAGCGGUGAAAUGCGCAGAUAUCAGGAGGAACACCAAUGGCGAAGGCAGCUCGCUGGGACGUGACUGACGCUGAGGCGCGAAAGCGUGGGGAGCGAACCGG